ensembl:lncRNA
AUGGCGAAAGGAAUUUUUAGAAUUAACACAGUGAAAAGCGCUGCAGCAAGAGCGCUUGUAUUAGAUUUUCUUGGGGAAGUUUUUAGAAGAACCAGGUGUGACAUACCGAAGGCUGUCUGCUGUUGCUUUUGCAUGGCACCAUAUGUGACCGGAGUCAGACUCUGGGAAGAGGGAUGCACAGACUUUAUACCUGUGCUUUCUUCCCCUGCGUUAAUAACCUUUGAGGUGAUGUGCUCUGAAAGAUUAGCAGUCUCGGUCCGCUACUGCACAGCACAUCUUCAUAGUUAUGAAUGUAACAAUUUUGAGAAGCAGACUCAGAGAUGUAAAUCCCUAUCUUUCAAGACUCUGCAGCUUUGACUGUUUUCUGCUACUUCCCAAGUCACCCGCUAGCAAUAGCAAAUACUUUGUAAUUUCCCAAAUGCACUAUACCAAACUUCGGCAAAGCCCGUCUCCUCUGUAUAGAUUUUUUCUUUAAAUCACCCCCACAGUGGCAGCCACCUGCCAGGCACCCUUCAAAAUCCAGCUAGAAUGUCUCCCCUGACACUUCCUCACCUUCUGCUUCAGCUCCAGCUGAUCUUACAUCCGUAGUGCUGCCCACUACACCAAAUUGCACUUGGCUCUGCUCAAGGGCUUCCAGAGUAUUACUGACCUCUGAACGUACUUGGUCGAGUGUCUAGAACUUGGCAUUCUGACAUUGUACUGGUAACCUCGACUUCACUGUUUUCCUGUUAGUUACCAUAAAUAUGGGCUUAAUCUUGAAAUGGAAGUCCUAUUAUCAAUUAUACUGCAUUUGAUCAGAGAAACUCAAAACAUCUAAAAACAGCAAUGAGCCUUUAAUUUCCCUGAUUUCAAACUGUAGCUUCAACAUCACAAUUUAAUAGAAUACAUGUCCUGUAAUACAUCUGAAUUUUCUCAAGGANNNNNNNNNNNNNNNNNNNUUUUAAAUAAAACCAACUUAAAAGCUUUAAUAUCUAGAAGAUACUGUUUUUCUACUUGUAGCUAUUACAGAAUUUGCAGGGGGAAAUGAGCACAUUAAAUAUCCCUAUUAGAAAUAUGCUCUAAAAUCAGGUCACUUAAAAUUAACAUUGAAUUGAUGAUGAUUAGUAGUUGAUUAUAAAAAUGUUAGUUACGGAAUUGUUUUCCAUAAAAGUCAGAGGAAAGUAAAGGCCAUGAACUGGGAAAAAACCAAAGGAUUAAUGCCUACAAUAGCAGAAUUUCUUUUGAUUUUCCAUGUAAACCUGAAAGGUUACAGAUAAUAACUAGUUACAUUACACUUUUCCAUAACUUGAGUUCCUGGGUGAUGGAGAGAAUUGUUAUACUCUUGUAUAGGUAUGCAUUUGGUUAUAGAGACGUCCCACUCUUUCUUCUAUAUUAGAUGGCAUGAUUGUUAUUUUUUAAAGCCUAAAUUUUACAGACUUUUUAUGGAAAAUUUAUCACAAUGUUGUAAUAAAAAUAAGAAUGCAUCAAAAGUUACAUUUAGAAUGAAUAAAUAUAUAAUCCCUCAUCUCUAAGAUACUCACCUAAAAAACAAAUGUUGGAAUUAAUAUGAAUUCCUGUACAUAAAGUAGCAAAGAUUAGGGAAUUUAAAAUAUCUAAAUGUUUGUAAUUACUAAGCCAAAUAUUUAGGAAACCACCUAAAUUCAUAUUUCAUAUUUUUUACACUAUUUUCCAGCAUUGAACUUUAUAAUCAACAUAAGAUAUAUAGUAACUCUUUAAGUAUCUUGCUGUCCUUUAAAGGCUUAUUUUUACUAUCUUCUAGCUGUUAUUAAUGUAUAGCAUGCUGAUUAAAUAAUAGUUAAAGUUGAAAUUGGUUCUAGUAGUCUUAAAGACUAACCAUGCUUAAUUAAUUACUUUAUAUUGUAUAUAGUAAUUAGAUUUCGGGAAACAUGAUUCCAUAGUACUUCUGUAUCAUUUUUAAGAUUUUCUUAUUUAAAUAACUAANNNNNNNNNNNNNNNNNNNNNNNNNNNNNNNNNNNNNNNNNNNNNNNNNNNNNNNNNNNNNNNNNNNNNNNNNNNNNNNNNNNNNNNNNNNNNNNNNNNUAAAUAACUAAGUUGAAUAUCAACAUACUUAUAUAUAUGUAUGACAUAUAAGUAUGUUGACAUUCAAAUGAAAUGAAGGUGCUCCUUGCAUUUUAUAAUGAAGUAAUGUAAUAUAUAAUUGUAUUAGAUAAUUUUCUAAAAGUUCCUCAAAUAAUUUAAUAAUAGAUGUCUGUUAAAUUCUGACUUGUUACUGCAAAGAAUUAUAUGGAGAUUUUCAAGAUCCCUUUAUCUACAUUUCUGAGAAAGUUAAGACAUACAUUUAGCUAUUAGGGAACACUUCUAUAAUUGAGUUCUAAAUAUUGAUGGAUAAGAACCCUCAUUCCAGAUUAAGCUCAUUUAAGAUGAUCUUAUUUGAUAUAUGACAGAGAAUCAUCAAAAAGAGAGUUUUAUUUUGAGUUUCAACAACAUGAUAUAUCCAUAUGGAACUGUAUUAUACUUUACCCUAGUCUUCAAAACAGAAGUUUUGUCAACCAAGAAUUUAGUCAAAAAUACAGUGGUUUCUUCUUCCCCAUACAGGUCUGGUAUGAUAUAGAUCCAGGAUUAACUUUGCACCUUUGAAAAGCAUUAUUUGAGCCAAAAUCCAGAAAUCUUUCACUUUUCCUAACUCUAAGCAAAAGUCUCACUUUCAAAGAAAAAUUUCCUACCUCAAAAAAAAAAAAAAUCUAGCCAUUCUCUCACUAUAUUUCCUAACUUUUUCUAUCCAUGUUAGAAUUUAAGAAAAUUUUAUUUUUAAUAAGAACAUUAUUUUAAAGUUUUAGUUAUAUUUUGGGUUUUUAAUGUGCACAGUUGCUUACUUUUAAAUUUUUUUACUUUUUCAGUAACCUAGACAUUCAAUUCUUCUAACUUUCCUUUGAGAUGUCUUCUCAACAGCUGGUGUAAAUUACACGCCAAAAAGACUUUCUUAUAAUGAAUCCUAUCCUCUGCUUUAAGUAGGAAAGUUAAUCCAACCAAUUAGAAAUACUUUUUAGAUGUCCUUUCCUGAUCAAUUUUUCAGGAAUGGCUGAAUGUGAGGGGCAGAAUAAACCUCUCAAGCUCCAAGCCUUCUGACCUUCUACUGAAUUUGGUAUCUUCUAGAGACAAAUGUGGCUUUAAGGAUCAGCCAAAAGGAAUCCAAACAAACUGUACCAAAAAUAGGUUUCUAAUCAAGAGCACUUGUUACAAAAAUCCCUGAGUCCAGGCAGGGAAUAGUAUAAAGAAUGGAAACUUCUUUAAUGUAUCUACACAAAUAUAUGCAAAUGAGACAUUCUAAGGAAACACUGGCCAAGUUGCAGAAAAUGUAUUAGUAUAAACGUUCAUUCUAUCUGCCUCUAUAAAGUCGCUGUCGCUACUUCUAGUCGGAGGUAGUUAUCUUCUUCGGAAACAUUUAGUCCUGUGCGGAGGUGGCGGAUCGAAAGAAACUUGCUUAAGCUUUUGACUAUGUUGAGGUCUCAUCCUCCACCUGUGGACACAUCAGCUACUUCUGCCUCUUUGGAUUCUUUUGCGAUCAGAUCUUAAUGUUUAAUAAGGUUUUCCUUCGCUUUAUACGUUAACCAAAAAAAAAAUUAAGAAAGCAACGCUUGGUUGUUUGCAAGCNNNNNNNNNNNNNNNNNNNNNNNNNNNNNNNNNNNNNNNNNNNNNNNNNNNNNNNNNNNNNNNNNNNNNNNNNNNNNNNNNNNNNNNNNNNNNNNNNNNAAGAAAGCAACGCUUGGUUGUUUGCAAGCGAGCUUUUUCACAGAUUAUCAAGAUGCCUUCACACAUCAAAAGAUUUCAAAUUUCUGCGCUACAGUUAACAAAGGGAAAGAGAUUAGAUAACAGUUUCAGCUGUUCUUGUGCUAACCAUGUCAUCUGGUGAAGUGUCCGAGCACUUUCUGAAACAAGCACACGUAAUCUGUCAGGUAUAUAAUUGCAGUAGAAUAAGUACUGUUGUAUCCUGUGGGGAUAAAUAACUUUUGAAAGAACUUGCCUCAGUAUCCAAAUGUGGAGAUGUAUAAAUCAAUAGCAUAGCAUUACUAGUAGUGAAGAUAAAAAUUUUAUAACUUAAUUGUUCUGGAACAGAGUGAAUAGACUUGUGUUGGCUGAUACACCUCGAGCACCGGCUUGAACCAGUUUAGGUAAAGGAAGAUGCUGACUGUAGCAAGAACAGGAAAAGGUACAGAUUGCUUGCACAGAAUUAAAGUUCCAGGGACAACUCAGCUUGCUUUGCAAGGGCAGCUGGAAACUUGUAGGCACGUAGCAAACAAGUCAAUUUAUUAAAUAUUAAGUCAGUAUUUGUGGACUGAAUGAAUGGAUCACAGUUUUUUCCUUGAUGUUGUGCUAAUGGCAAAUGUUGAUCAGAAGAUGUUGCUUCAAUUUAAAGAUUAAAAGGUCACUGACAAGAUUUUCUGAGGUUUGUUUUUUUUUUGGAAAUCAUGAAACUUGAGACAGAAAAAAAGAUGGAAAAAAUUUUUAAUGCUGUUAUUUUAAA